rnacentral:rRNA from 1 species
GACGAACGCUGGCGGCGUGCUUAACACAUGCAAGUCGAACGGAAAGGCCCUGCUUUUGUGGGGUGCUCGUGUGGAGAACGGGUGUGUCACAUGUGAGUAAUCUGCCUUUGAUUUUGGGAUAACUUCAGGACACUGGGGAUUAUACCGGAUGGGAGUUCCUGCUGCAUGGUGGGGGUUGGAAUGGUUCGGCGGUUGGGGAAGGACUCGCGGUUUAUCAGUUUGUUGGUGGGGUAGUGGCUCAACGAGGCCUUGACGAGUAGGCGGCCUGAGAGGGUGACCGGCCUCAUUAGUACUGUGAUGCGGCCCAGACUCCUGCGGGAAGCAGCAGUGAGGAAUGUUGCACAAUGGGCGGAAGCCUGAUGCAGCAACGCCGCGUGCGUGAUGACGGCCGUCUUGUUGUAAACCUCUUUCGCCGAUGACGAAGCUUUGGUGACGGUAGUGGUUAAAGAAGCACCGGCUAACUACGUG